rnacentral:rRNA from 1 species
CUACAAAUGAAUUGAGGGGACCCGCACAAGCAGCGGAGCGUGUGGUUUAAUUCGUUGCUACACGAAGAACCUUACCUGGGUUUGACAUAUAGGUUGUAGGGAACUGAAAAGGGACCGACCCUUCGGGGAGCCUAUACAGGUGUUGCAUGGCUGUCGUCAGCUCGUGUCGUGAGAUGUUCGGUUAAGUCCGCUAACGAGCGCAACCCUCGUCGUAUGUUAUAUGUGUCAUACGAGACUGCCGGUAAAAAGCCGGAGGAAGGUGAGGAUGAUGUCAAGUCAGCAUGACCUUUAUAUCCAGGGCUACACACACGCUACAAUGGUCUGUACAAUGGGUAGCCAAGCCGCGAGGCGGAGCCAAUCCUGAAAGCAGGCCUCAGUUCAGAUUGCAGUCUGCAACUCGACUGCAUGAAGCCGGAGUUGCUAGUAACCGCAGGUCAGCAAUACUGCGGUGAAUACGUUCCCGGGUCUU